rnacentral:lncRNA from 1 species
CUUUCGGAGCUGUGCGGCAUUCUGAGCAGGAAUGGCAGUGUGGACCUCUGUGAUGGGACAUCUUGUGGGAUCUCACAGCCAGUUCUGUGGCAAAGGAGGAUGAAGGCUUACGAGGACUCGUCAGGAAGCUGGAUAACAGAGCGAGCGCAAUGUGCUAGAAUAGAAGACCAGAAAAUGAAAUGGUGGAGUUUGAGGCUGGAUAGACAGUUUGAAAGUUAACUGGUUGCAUGCUUGUUCAUUUGGCUGGCUUGCUUGGGUAAGAAGCCAUUGGGGGCCUUGAAUUCCCUCCAGUCAUUUGCAGUAUUUACUGCAUAACAUUUAGCUUUUGAACAUGCAUGUGCUACCAUCAGUACUAAAUGGUGCCUUAAAUUUUUUUCAGGUACAAAUAAUGGUUUGAAUAAAGAAAGGUAUUAAUGGGUCACCUCAAGUGAAGGCACUGCAAACACAAUGAUUGGUCAUUCUGAAUUUCCGGUCCUUCAUUCUGAAUUUCAAAGGCUCCUGUGACAAGUGGACAUGCAGUGACUGCACCUUUGUUUCUGAGGUGCCUGGAUGGAGGCUCAAAUAGAAGAUGGUGUCAGAUAUAUUGUGUUAAAAUUUUACCAUUAAAGUGUAUUAUAACAUGAA